CUUGCACAGUAAUAAACAGCAGUGUCCUCUGAUUUCAAGCUAUUCAUUUGCAGAUACAGCAUGUUUGAAGGGUUGUCUCUGGAGAUGGUGAAGCGCCCUUUCACUGAGUCUGCAUAAUAUUUUUGGCUACCAUCAGACCAGAUUACUGCAAUCCAUUCCAGUCCCUUUCCAGGAGCCUGUCGCACCCAGUUCAUGGCAUAGCUGCUGAAGGUGAAUCCAGAAGCUUGACAGGAGAGGCGGAGGGACUCUCCAGGCCUUUUGACAUCCCCUCCAGAUUCUACCAGCUGGAUUGCUGUUUGGACACCUAGAAAGGGGGGAAAGCCAUAUUUAAAGGAUCUGCUACAUAUGAAGCCCUGGAUUAUACUAGUCAUCUUUGUUCAAAGAAGGAAUAAAAUUACCUCCCAAAACUGCUGAAACAAAAACAAAUUGAAGCCAAUGUGUCAUGUUUGUCUCCCAAUUUUGCUCUGAGAGCAACUGACUGGAAAGUGGUUCGGCAGUUCUACCUCUGGGUGUAGGCUGGGCAGAGAGUGUGCGGCUGCUUUAAACAGGAAGCUGCCUCUGCAUUUACAUGCAGCUCAGGAUAAAAGAGCAACACUGGUCUUUGACUGAGCAGAUCUGGUUAGGCUUGUAUACCAAACACAUGACUUGCAGACCCUAUUUUCCAGGGACAGUCCCAGUUUUACAAAAGCCAUCCCAGUUCCUGAUUUGAUCCCAGAAUAUCCCACUUUUCCUUUGGAUAUCCCUAUUUUCAUCAGAGAAAUGUUGGAAGGUGUGGACUUGGAAGCAGGCCCAUGCAGAGCUUAUCUGAGGCCUGGGGUGGAAGUCUUGUUAUAAUAAAAUUAUCUGCUCAAACAAAAAGGAAUUGGUCAUUGGCACCUGCCAUACCUGUUGUUUUUAAGGGAAUCCCGAUACAGCUUCUCAACAUCCACCAUCAGAUCAACAUUUAUUUAUUUAUAAAAUUUAUAUACUGCCCUUCAUCAAAAUAUCUCAGGAUGGUUCACAGGAUAGAGGCACAAAUAAAUAGUCAAAACAGAAGCAAACAAAAGAGUAACCCCCCCCCCCACAAAAACAUCUAGAAUAUCCAUUAAUCAAGGGCCUGGUUGAAGCCAAUGUGAGCCAUCCUGUGAUUUUCAGAUGAGGGGCAGUGUAGAAAUUUGGUAUCACUAUUUAAAAAAAUAAAAAUGCGAGUGAUCUUGAUUUAUCCCAGCUAUGCUCAAUUCUGAGUGUUCAAGCAUUAUGUCAGAAAAUGGUCUGUUUUAUUUCCAACCAAAUUAACAUGGCUAUCCCCUUCUGUCCAUUACACUGAUGGUCUGCCAGGAACAAUAAAGUCCUACAUUGCUUCAUAUACACACAAAGCAGGAAAGUGGGACUGCAAAGUUGGAAACAGGGACACUCUGGAGCAAAGUGGAUUGAAACAGUCCACCUCUCUCUCCCUGAAACUGGCUAACAUGCUGCUGCAACAUUUGUCUCCCUACCAUGGCAAUUUGCCUCACCUCACCUCACCUAGGAACAGAUGCACUCUGUAUGCCCCCUUCAUGCUCAAGGGGAAUAGAGGUAGCAUUGCCUGCAUCUCCUGCUGUGCUUUCCGGAAGAUUCUGACUAUUCAAUGUGGGGGAAAGAAGCCUGAAUUAGGUGGAGCUUUGGUCUCAAAAGUCCAAAUAUCUUCUAAUGUCCUGACUCAUGUCCCUGCUCCUUGUUUCCACCAUCAGUUGUGUCCUACAGAAACAAAUUGGAGCACUGUCUUGAGCAAGAAGAGGUUGUUUUUGCCAGACUUCCUCUCACUGUGUAAUCUUGCACAGAAAUACAUAGCCGUGUCCUCUGGUUUCAGAUUGUUCAUUUGCAGAUACAGCAUGGCUGAUGGGUUGUCCCUGGAGAUGGUGAAGCGUCCUGUCACAGAGUUGUCAUAGUAUAUUUCUCCACUAUCAUAGCGUAUCCAUGCCACCCAUUCCAGUCCCUUCCCAGCAGCCUGUCGCACCCAGCUCAUCCAGUAGCUGCUGAAGUCGAAGCCAGAAGCUCGACAAGAGAGGCGGAGGGACUCUCCAGGUCUUUUGGUGUCGCCUCCUGACACCUCCAGUUGGUACUGUGAUUGAAUACCUGUAAAACAAGAGAUAUUAUAAAGCUCUAAUCUUAUUGAUUCAUGUCUAAUCAAUAAACUGCAAGUGUGUCUUUGCAUGCCGGAGGAUAAUUAAAUAGUAAUAUUGACCUCUGAAGAAUGCCAGGAAACAAACUAAUUGAAGUAAAGGACUCAUUCCUUUUGCUUGCUUUGGGAAAAGUUGCUUGGAAUGGGAUGUCAAUCACACAGUGCUUGUAGUUCUGGAUGGAGAUGGGGCUCAAAGAGUGUUAUGACCCAGUGGAACAGGAAGCUGUCCAUGCAUUUACAUAAAGCUCAGGAUAAAAAGAGAAACACGUUAGCAAUGUUUGUUCUUUGCACAUACACAGUAGACACAGCUUGAGAGAUAGUGGACUUGUAUUAAUGGGGAGCAAUGUGGUGGAAAAAUGCAUUCAAAGUAAGAGGCAGGAAGGCAGAUUCAGCUUAAAAGUUCAGUGUUAAAUAUAUAUACAGACCCAAUGGUAAGAUGCACUAUAGUGCUAUUAAUUCUAUUUCUAUGAUAUCUGAAUGUGCAUCUAUAGAUAUGAAUUAGCAUAGUUUUAACACAAAUUUUUACACAGAUUUGUAUGCCCCUUUCUGUGUGUCGCAGAGCUGGAAUGUAUGGAAUAGAAUAGCAAUUCUGUCUAGUCACCUUCAGGCUUGACUACUGUAAUUCGCUCUAUGCGGGGCUGCCCUUGAAACUUUCCCACAAACCCCAGCGGGUGCAGAAUGCUGCAGCGAGGCUCCUCACGGGGUCCCUGCCAUGGGAGCAUAUUCACCCAGUGCUUUACCAGUUACACAGGCUCCCAGUGGAGUAUAGGGUCAGGUUCAAGGUGCUGGUUUUGACCUUUAAAGCCCUUUUUAGCUUAGGGCCCCCGUAUUUACGGGACCGCCUCUCCUGGUAUGCCCCGCGGAGGACCUUAAGGUCCAUGAAUAACCAUCGUUUAGAGGUCCCGGGCCCUAAGGAGGUCAGAUUAUACUCCACCAGGGCCAGGGCCUUUUCAGUGAUGGCUUCGACCUGGUGGAAUGCUCUGCCCCAUGAGACUAGGGCCCUUCAGGAUUUAAUCUCCUUCCGUCAGGCCUGCAAAACAGAGCUAUUUCGCCUGGCCUUUAAUUUGAAUUCAGACUGAUCUUUUAUUUCCCUUCUCUUCCUUCCCCCUCCCCUUUUAUGAAGAUUACCCGCUCUGAGACCCCACAGCUAAUUCUCCCCUGGCCUCCUCACUGGCCCAAGUAGGACUAAUUCAGCUAGCUAGCCCUGGUGACUAUCAAAUGCUUAUUAGAUGGAUUUCCCCAAAUUGAUUUUUGAAUUUUAUUGUUAUUCAUGUUUUUAUACUGUAUUUUACAAUGCUUUUACAAUUAAGUGUUUUAAAUUUGUUGUUAGCUGCCCUGAGCCCGGUUUCCUCAACCGGGAAGGGUGGAGUAUAAAUAAAUUAAUAUUAUUAUUAUCAUCAUCAUCAUCAUCAUCAUCAUCAUCUAUACAUUGGGAAAUGAUGGUGAGGUGGUUUUCUUGGUUCUGAAUAGAAAGUUAUGAAAAUGUCUCUUGGGGAAUCAAACUCUAAUGCUGCCAGCGAAGUCGAGGCAGCUGAGGAAAAAAUACUCAGCUUCACAGCUGUAACCAAAAAAACCAAACAAGGCUUUAUUUCAGACUUUAUUUCAGUUGUGGUGAAUGGCUUCAUAGGCUUUAAAUCACUGCUGCCCCCUUGUGAGAAACGGAAUUUUUUUUUUAGGAGAUGCUCCUACACUUCACCCAGUAAGAGAUGCCUCUAAACUUUUGUACAGUUUUUCCUUUGGUUUUUCUCACUGUGUUUCCUGCGGGCACAGUAAUAUAUAGCUGUGUCUGCAGCUGUCACAGAUCUCAGCUCCAGGUCGUAUGUAUUUCUGGAGGCAUCGGCAGUCACAGUGAUUCGACCUUGGAGAUAUGGGCUGUAGAAUAAUCUCCAUUUGCUGCUAGACCAGUCGAUCUGGCCCAUCCAUUCCAGGCCUUUUCCGGGAGCCUGUCGGACCCAUUCCCAGAAAUUAUUUUUGACAGAAUCCCCAGAAAUGACCCAUUCCCAGAAAUUAUUUUUGACAGUGCAGGUUAGUCUCAGGGACCCUCCAGGAUUCACAAUCCUUGGUCCAGAUUCCAUAAGUUGGACACUGCAGUGGACAUCUAAGGACAACAACAAGACUUUCAUUACCAUGCAAUUUGUGCAUCUGUAAUAUUUGAUUUUUAAAAAAAUGUUUAUCUGGAAGAUACUCACACAGCGGCACUGCUAACAAAGACAGUAAAAGAAAGGGGGCCUUCAUUGUUUGCAGAGAGAAACUCCUCUCUCUGGAUUAACAACUAAUUUGGUCCAGCUGAGGAUCUGAAGACUUGGUGUGGGUAGAGCUAUUUAAAUAGAAAGCUUUUUAGAAAGGGAUUUGCAUCAACUUUGCAUCUAGUGGUGGGAAUCAGAUAAAGAGAGAUGCUCUAAACUGUGAAUAUGCUCAGAGCACUGCCUCCACCAGUGGGAAGUGGGUCCAUCAUUUAAAGAAGUCAUCUGGGCCACACACACCCUUUUAUGGGUCCCUUGCUUUCCCACUAUCAGAAAGCAGCAGGAGGAGAAAUUUUUACAAGUUCUCAUCUUGGCUGGGGCCACACUCUGCCAAUGUGAACCAUCCUGUGCUUUUCGGAUGAGCAGUGGUGUAGAAAUUUGAUAAUAUUAGUUAUCUAGGAGAGCUCUGGAAACAGAUGGAAAGAUUAGCAGGAUUUUAAUCCCGCUUGUGAUGUAACAAAUACCAUGAAUAAUUUGGAUUGAAUUAAAAUAUAGUGUAUGGAAUAACAUGAAUAUUUAAAUGUAGAAAUAGGACCCAUCGAGAGUGUGGGGGGAAGUUGUGAGAUUCAGAGUAAUCUCUACGUAUGGAUACGUAUUUGGAUUGUUCUAAUUUUAUAUUGGUAAAAUCAUAUAAAAAUGAGUUUGAAAAAGAAAAGAAAAGAGAGAUUAUCUAAACUGAGAAUAUGCUCAAAGCACUGCUGAGCCUGUUCCUUCAUUUAAAGAAGCCCUCCCAGCGACACACACCCUUUUAUGGGUUCCUUACUUUCUCACCACCAGAAAUAAGCAGGAAGAGGAAUUUUUACAAGCCCUUAUCUUGGCUGGGGCCAUCCUCUGCCAUCGUGAGCCAUCUUGUGAUUUUUGGAUGAGAGGCAGUGUAGAAAUUUGAUAUUAGAUUUAAAAAUAAAUAAGUGAAAGUCAGAGGCGUAGGAAGGUCAGGUGGUACCCGGUGCGAAAAAUUUCUUGUCACCCCCCCCACAUUGAUCUCCCCCUCCCUGCAAAAAUGGUUUUAUGUUAUUUCAUAUUUUCUUACAAAGGAAUAAUAAGAAGUAAUAAUAAUGAUAAACUUUUAUUUUUAUCCUGCCCUCCACGGCUGAAGUCGGGCUCAGGGCGGCUAACAUAAGUUACAGAACAUUGGUAUAAAAUCAAACAAUAAUUAAAUUACCUCCUGAAAACAUGUCAAAAUUAAAUUAAAGUCUACUUACCUGGCUUUCCAAAGGGUUAGGGUUGGGAACAGUAAGUGCUCCACUGAAUUGAAAUUUCAGCCUUCACGACAUAGGAAAAUGGCCAGGUAAACAGCUAUUUUCAUGGAGGAGAGUCAAGAUAUUAAUUUGACCCUCAUUUAUAGCUAUACAAUCCCUAGUGUAGUAAGAUAAGACCUUUGGAGCAGGCAUUUUUUUAAAAAAAGUUUUUUUAUGAACCGCCCUAGUAGGGCAGUAAUUGUUCCUUGAUCAUUGGUCACCCCCCUCCAUGAUGCAACCUGGGGCGGCCCCCCCUUCCUACGCCCCUGGUAAAAGUGACCCUGAACAUUCCAUUUUGAACAGUAAGCAUGAUGCCUCAUUUGUGUCAGCAAAAUCAGUACAAUUUAUCUUGAAUUUAUCUUCCUUCUCCAAACUUCUUCAUUUAGUUAUUUGUGGCUGCAGCUGAACCAGUCCAGACACCUGGCAAAGGAAGGUUUUUGGCUGGCUUCAGAUUCACUUCCUUUCACUGUGUCUCUCUUGCACAGUAAUAUAGAGCCGUGUCCACGGAUUUCAGGUUGUUCAUUUGCAGAUACAGCAUGUUUGAAGGGUUGUUUCUGGAGAUGGUGAAGCGCCCUUUCACUGAGUCUACAUAAUGUUGCUGACUACCAUCAGACCAGAUUCUUGCAACCCAUUCCAGUCCCGUCCCAGGAGCCUGUUGCACCCAGUUCAUGGGAUCGCUGCUGAAGGUGAAUCCAGAAGCUCGACAGGAGAGACGGAGGGACUCUCCAGGUCUUUUGACAUCCCCUCCAGACUCUACCAGCUGGACUGCUGAUUGGACACCUAGAAAAGGAGGAAAGCCAUAUUUAAAGGAUCUGCUAAAUAUGAAGCCCUAUAUUAUACUAGUCAUCUUUGUUUAAAGCUGGAAUAAAAUUACCUCCCAAAAUUGCUGAAACAAAAAGAAACUGAAGCCAAAGUGUCAUGUUUAUCUCCCAAUUUUGUUCUGAGAGGAACUGACUGGAAAGUGGUUCAGCAGUUCUACCUCUGGGUGUGGGCUGGGCAGAGAGUGUGCUGCUGCUUUAAAGAGGAAGGUGCCGCUGCAUUUACAUGCAGCUCAGGAUAAAAGAGUAACACAGGUCUUUGACGGAGCAGAUCUGUUUAGCCUUAUACAAAACAUAUGACUUGCUGAUCCUUCAAUUGUUUUGUUUUCCAGUCAAGAAUUUACAAAAGCCCUCCUGUUUCCUGAUUUGAUCCCAGAAUGUCCCGCUUUUCCUUAGGAUUCAAACAAAAAAGGAAUUGGUCCCUGGCACCCGCCACACCUGCUGUCUUUAAGGGAAUCCUGAUACAGCUUCUCAACGUCCCCCAUCAGAUCAACAUUUAUUUAUUUAACCCGUAUUUAAUUUUAAAUUUGUUUUAAAAAUAAACGCUGUAAAUAAAGCUUUUGGACCACAUUUUUGUUUUGGGGUUUUUGUUUUUAUUUCAAUACAAAAGUGAGCUUUUAUUCAUCCAAAGGCUUCCAUGUGCCCAAUAUUAAUAAUAAUCUCAAUAAGACACAAAUGAUGAAUGACGGAAAGAGCAAAACUUAACACACCAGAAAUUAGCAGUGUGGGCUUUACUAUGUUUGUGGGAACAGACUUAGGCCGAGAUAGCUUGGUUCCACCUCUCGCUGUGUGCUACAGACAAGACUAGCCUUGCUGUGUGAUCACAGCAUGUGGCUGUCAGAUUAGUCAGUAAAUGGGAGGGUUUGUAUAACCCCAUUGAUUGAACUCACCUGCCUGUGCAUUGUGCCUUGGUUAAUUGGUUCAGGUUGUUGGAAUUGCAGAUACUAUUCUUUGAUAUAUUUUAAUGAAUCUCAUCCGUUUACUCUUAAAACAGUUUGACUCAAUACUUCUUUCCAGCCUUCAGAUUCACUUCCUCUCACUGUGUCUCCUGCACAGUAAUAAAGAGCCGUGUCCUCGGGUUUCAGGUUGUUCAUUUGCAGAUACAACAUGUUUGAUGGGUUGUUCCUGGAGAUGGUGAAACGCCCUUUCAUAGAGCUGGCAUAGUAUACUUCUCCUCUAUGUUGGUGUAUCCAUGCAACCCAUUCCAGUCCCUUCCCAGUAGCCUGUCUCACCCAGUGCAUGAAGUAGUUGCUGAAGGUAAAGCCAGAGCCUUGGCAUGAAAGACAGAGGGACUCCCCAGGCCUUUUGAUGUCCCCUCCAAAUUCCUGCAGUCGAACUGCUGAUUGAAAGCCUGUAAAGAAAGCAAUAUUAUAAAGCUUCCUGAACAUCAAUCAGCAAACUGUACAUGUCUCCUUACAUGCCAAAGAAAUAACAACACAACAAUAACUUCUGAAUAUUGCCAAAAAGCAAAUUAAUUGAAGUAAACGCAUCGUUCCCUGGUUGUUUUGGGAAAGGUUGCCUUGAAAGUGAUCCAAAUCACACAGGGGUUGCUGGUGUGGAUGGAGCUGGGGCAAAAGAGGGCUUGACUCCUUUAAACAGGAAGCUGUCCCUCCAUUUACAUACAGCUCAGGAUAAAAAGAGCAACACGUUGACAAUUUUGGUUCUGGUUUUGGUCAUACUGAUUUUUGCAGAGGUGGAUUGCAGGCAGCACAACUGGGUUUGCUGCACUUGGAGCUCAGCCUAGGGGUGCCACAGGAUGUACCACCUAUGAUAUAGUGAAUUGAGCAUAAUGGAAGGUGAGAGGUGAGGGCUGCCAAAUUUUGGCCUUACCCAGGGCCCCACUGAAAUUUGAAAGACAACAGUCUUCCCCUGAUUUUUGCACUUAUUUUAUCAUCAGGGUAUGGUGAUCUCAUCAAUUGUGCAUGUAUCCUUUAUCCAUAUUCUCAAAUAAAUUUCAUUGUACCUGGGUCAGUCUGCUAUAAAGUAUUGCUUAACUUAGAAGAAGAUCUAUGGUGUGACUCUUUAUACGUAACUUCUUUGCAUGUGAUUCAUAAAAAAGAUGUGUGUAUAUGUGCUUGUAUCAGUCUCUGUCUUAUGAACUCUCAAUGCCUUCAUGCCCUGUUUCACAAUUAGGGGUCUGGGGACCCCGGGGGUCCAUGGAAUGCACCUAGAACAGUGAUGGCCAAACGUGGCCCUCCAGCUGUUUUGGGACUACAUCUCCCAUCAUCCCUAGCUAACAGGACCAGUGGUCAGAGAUGAUGGGAAUUGUAGUCCCAAAACAGCUGGAGGACCACGUUUGGCCAUCACUGACCUAGAGGGUCUGCAGCCCUAUCCCUUGCCUCUCCCCAACUCUUUUGUUUGGACAUAUUUUCAUGGUAACAGUGUUUUUUUCUAAAAAAAUGUUUAGGGGUACUCUCCUUUUCCUACUCCUAUUGAAAUACUGCCCCUCAAUGAGGCCAAACUGAGCUUCACAAAAUGUUUAGGGGCAUGCGUACCCAUGUAUUCCACCUGGAAAAAAAGCACUGAAUGGUAAUAUUAUAAUUUUUAUGGUCUAUUUUAGCACUGUGCGAUUUUCAAUAUAUUGGUCAAAAUCGGUUUUGAAAUCACACUGUGAUGAUGAUUUUGACCCAGCAAUAUGCAGCAAUAUAUUGCUCCUUGCACAAGGGAGAGCAGGGUAGUCAGUUUCAAGGCACUGCCAAUAUCACAGGAUGAUCUCACACAUCUGAUGUCAACAUGCCCAUGGUGUAUGCAGACAUCACAUGCCUGGGCACAUUUUUGCAAGGAGGGGUUGGGUCUGACCCAGGGGUGAAGUGGAGGAGGCACAGGCAAUGGCAGCAAUGUUGCCGCCCCUCUCCUACAGUGGCUUCUGCUCUGGCUGAGAGUGGUGGCAGCAGCGCUGCUGCGGUGGUGCUCCUCUCCUGUACUGGGAGAGGAGUCUGACCCAGGAGGAGGAGAGAAGGAGUAGGGGGUGUUACUGCCCCUUUCUGCGGCUUGGCAGUGCCGCCCAAGGAUGUUGCCCAGGCAGCGUUCUCACCCUGGGCUGCAUCCAGUGGGAUCCCUUUGCACACACCCCCCCUUGGGGCCCUGGUGCAAUAAUUGUGGGUGCCCGACCACUUCAUGGGGAAUAUUGUGGGGGCUACAGCACCCAGCACCCUGCCACGUGGCGCCUAUGCCUCACACCGAAGGAAAACAGGACAGCUGGUUGUGGAGUGUUGCCUUUCCCUCACUCUGAUGGAUAACAGGACAGCUGAUCACUCUCACUUCAAGGCACCAUGGCACUACCUUCUCCUGGCACUGAGGCAGAGCUGCUUUUCUCAGUCAGCAGCAGCAGCCACAGUGGGCGUGCAUCUUCGCUGGCUGCUGCAGCUGUAUGCCCAGUUGAUGGUGGCUUGAUGCAUCCCCAAUCCCCUUCCAUGAGUUGCCACUCAGAUGUAUCAGGCCUAUCCAUUCCUGUUCAUUUCCAGGAACCUGUCAGAUCCAUUCUGAGAAAACAUUAUUGACAAAAUCUCAAGUGAUAGUGCAGAUUAGUCUCAGAGACUCCCCAGUAUUCACAGUCUCUGGUCCAGAUUCCACAAGCUGGACAUUGGUGUGGACAUCUAAGGCCAACAAGAAUACAUCUAUUACAGUAUAAUGUUUACAGAGAUUUGUAUCUCCCUUUCUGCUCCUUUUGGCGUAUGUGCCACAGAGCUGGGAAGUAUGUAAUAAAAUAGAAAUUCUGCCUAGUGUAUACAUUGGGAAAUGAUGGUUGGGGUGGUAAUGGCAAUGUUUCCUUGGUUCUAAAUAGAAAGUUGUGAGAAUGUCACCCAGGGAAUCAAACUCUCAUGCAGUUGAGGCAGCUGAGGAAACAAUAGCCUAACAGCUGUAACCACAAAACAUCACACUAGGCUUUAUUUUAGACUUUAUUUCUGUUUUGGUUGAUGGUUUCUUAGGCUUUAAAUCAUUGCUGCCCCCUUGUGAGAAACAGAAUUAAUUUUAGGAGAUGAUCCUACAUUUCAUCCCAGUAACAGAUGCCUCCAACUUUUUGUACAGUUUCUCCUUUGGUUUUUCUCACUGUGGUUCUCGGGCACAGUAAUACAUAGCCGUGUCUGCAGCUGUCACAGAUCUCAGCUCCAGGUCGUAUGUAUUUCUGGAGGCAUCAGCAGUCAGGGUGAUUCGGCCUUGGAGAGAUGGGCUGUAGUAUAAUCUCCAGUUGCUGCUAUACCAGUCUAUCUGGCCCAUCCAUUCCAGUCCUUUUCCGGGAGCCUGUCGGACCCAUUCCCAGUAACUAUUCUUGACAGAAUCCCCAGUGACAGUGCAGGUUAGUCUCAGGGACCCUCCAGGAUUCACAAUCCUUGGUCCAGAUUCCACAAGUUGGACACUGCAGUGGACAUCUAAAGAAAACAACAAGACUUUGGUUACCAUGCAAUUUGUCCAUCUGUAACAUUUGAUUUUUUAAAAUGUUUAUCUGGAAGAUACUCACACAGCGGCACUGUUAACAAGGAAAGGAAAAUAAAGGGUGCCUUCAUUGUUUGCAGAGAGAAACUCCACCCUCUGGAUUGACAACUAAUUUGGUCCAGCUGGGCAUCUGAAGACUUGGUGUGGGUGGAGCUAUUUAAAUAGAAAGCUUUUUGGACGGGGAAUUUGCAUCAACUUUGCAUCUAGUGGUGGGGAUCAGAUAAAGAGAGGUGAUCUAAACUGAGAAUAUGCUCAGAGCAAUGCUACCACCAGUGGGAAUUGGGUCUGUCAUUUAAAGAAGCCCUCUGGGCCACACACACACUUUCAUUGGUUCUUGUUUUCCCAGCACCAGAAAGCAGCAGAAAGAAAUUUUUUUACAAGCCCUCAACUUGGCUGAGGCUAUAUCUCCAGCCUAGUUGAGGGCUUGUAAUAUAUAUAUAUAUAUAUAUAUAUAUAUAUAUAUAUAUAUAUAUAUGAAAAUGACCAUGAUUAAUUCCAGCUAUGCUCACGUCUGUGUGUUCAGGCAUCAUGUCAGGAAAUGGUCUGCUUUUAUUUCCAACCAUGUUAACAUGGCUUUCCCUUUGUGUCCAUUACACUGAUUGUCUGCCAGGAACAGUAAGUCCUACACUGUUUCAUAUACACACAGAGCAGAAUGGUGGGAUUACAAAGUUGAAGACAGGGAAACUGUGGGGCCAAGUGGACUUAAACAGUCCAUAUCUAUCCCCACCAAAACUGGCUAACAUGGUAUUUGAAAAUUCUUCCUCAAAUUUCAUCACAUCAUGUCAGCCAUUAAAACAAUGGGGAAAUUAUAGCUUAAAACUGCCACAAUCUUCUGAGCUAACAGAGUUGCAAUCAUGCAAACACACAUAUCAUGGAAGCAAUAAAUAUAGGAACGAGUACUAAACAUCAACAAGAUUCUGCUAGAUUAUCAGAAUUGAAUUUUGCACUGCAUAAAAGAUCACAUAAGAAGUAGAUCUUAGUAGGAAAUGAAUUGCUGGGGAAAUAGAAUAAAGUGGUGUCUGAAUGCAGGCUAGGCUUUUUCUGAACAUUCCAUUUUGAACACUAGAUAUGGUGCCUCAUUUGUGUCAACAAAAUCAAGACAAUUUAUCUUCAGUUUAUCUUUUUUCUUCAGAUUUUUCAUUUACUUUUUUGUGGUUGCAGCUUAACCAGUCCAGACAGCUGGCAAAGAAAGGCUUCAGAUUCACUUCCUUUUACUGUGCCUCUUGCACAGUAAUAAACAGCAGUGUCCUCUGAUUUCAAGCUGUUCAUUUGUAGAUACAGCAUGUUUGAAGGGUUGUCUCUGGAGAUGGUGAAGCGCCCUUUCACUGAGUCUGCAUAAUAUUGUUGGCUACCAUCAGACCAGAUUACUGCAAUCCAUUCCAGUCCCUUUCCAGGAGCCUGUCGCACCCAGUUCAUGUCAUAGCUGCUGAAGGUGAAUCCAGAAGCUUGACAGGAGAGGCGGAGGGACUCUCCAGGCCUUUUGACAUCCCCUCCAGAUUCUACCAGCUGGAUUGCUGAUUGGAC